ensembl:snRNA U6 U6 spliceosomal RNA
AUGCCCACUUCGCUUGCACACGUGCUGAAAUUGGAAAAACACAUGUAAGAUUAGCAUGGCCCCUGUCCAAAGAUGACAUGUAAAUUUGUGACAUUUCCUAUGUAAAA